UGAGGAAUAUUGGUCAAUGGGCGGGGAGCCUGAACCAGCCAAGCCGCGUGAAGGAGGAAGGCGCCAGGCGUCGUAAACUUCUUUUGUCGGGGAACAAAGGGCGCCACGCGUGGCGUUGUGAGUGUACCCGAAGAAAAAGCAUCGGCUAACUCCGUGCC
rnacentral:rRNA from 1 species